rnacentral:lncRNA from 8 species
CUGACUAGAUUUUCCCUUUCCUUUAAUGAUUCACUCCUGUUGAACCUCCAUGAUUCACUCCUGUUGAACCUCCACCAUGAUUCACUCCUGUUGAACCUCCACCAUGAUUCACUCCUGUUGAAUCUCCAUGAUUCACUCCUGUUGAAUCUCCAUGAUUCACUCCUGUUGAACCUCCACCAUGAUUCACUCCUGUUGAACCUCCACCAUGAUUCACUCCUGUUGAACCUCCAUCAUGAUUCACUCCUGUUGAACCUCCACCAUGAUUCACUCCUGUUGAACCUCCACCAUGAUUCACUCCUGUUGAACCUCCACCAUGAUUCACUCCUGUUGAACCUCCACCAUGAUUCACUCCAGUUGAACCUCCACCAUGAUUCACUCCAGUUGAACCUCCACCAUGAUUCACUCCUGUUGAACCUCCACCAUGAUUCACUCCUGUUGAACCUCCACCAUGAUUCACUCCUGUUGAACCUCCACCAUGAUUCACUCCUGUUGAACCUCCACCAUGAUUCACUCCUGUUGAACCUCCACCAUGAUUCACUCCUGUUGAACCUCCACCAUGAUUCACUCCUGUUGAACCUCCACCAUGAUUCACUCCUGUUGAACCUCCACCAUGAUUCACUCCUGUUGAACCUCCAUCAUGAUUCCCUCCUGUUGAACCUCCACCAUGAUUCACUCCUGUUGAACCUCCACCAUGAUUCACUCCUGUUGAACCUCCACCAUGAUUCACUCCUGUUGAACCUCCACCAUGAUUCACUCCUGUUGAACCUCCACCAUGAUUCACUCCUGUUGAACCUCCACCAUGAUUCACUCCUGUUGAACCUCCACCAUGAUUCCCUCCUGUUGAACCUCCACCAUGAUUCACUCCUGUUGAACCUCCACCAUGAUUCACUCCUGUUGAACCUCCACCAUGAUUCACUCCUGUUGAACCUCGUUCAGUGUCACGAUGCUNNNNNNNNNNNNNNNNNNNNNNNNNNNNNNNNGGACGUUGACAGACUGGAUCUAGUCCUCUGCUGCUCUCUCUCUGCCUGGGAACGUUGA